rnacentral:rRNA from 1 species
GACGAACGCUGGCGGCGUGCUUAACACAUGCAAGUCGAACGGAAAGGCCCUGCUUUUGGGGGGUGCUCGAGUGGCGAACGGGUGAGUAACACGUGAGUAACCUGCCCUUGACUUUGGGAUAACUUCAGGAAACUGGGGCUAAUACCGGAUAGGAGCUCCUGCUGCAUGGUGGGGGUUGGAAAGUUUCGGCGGUUGGGGAUGGACUCGCGGCUUAUCAGCUUGUUGGUGGGGUAGUGGCUUACCAAGGCUUUGACGGGUAGCCGGCCUGAGAGGGUGACCGGCCACAUUGGGACUGAGAUACGGCCCAGACUCCUACGGGAGGCAGCAGUGGGGAAUAUUGCACAAUGGGCGGAAGCCUAAUGCAGCAACGCCGCGUGCGGGAUGACGGCCUUCGGGUUGUAAACCGCUUUCGCCUGUGACGAAGCGUGAGUGACGGUAAUGGGUAAAGAAGCACCGGCUAACUACGUG